UUUCUCUCACACAGUUUGAUAAAUCUGGGCCCAUGUGCUUACUUUCUAUUUCCUAAAGUCAGACCCUAGCUGUGCCUUACUUUCUCCCUGCAGAUAAGGCAUUGGGUGUUUUCCUGCAUCAGGUCUGCUUUGGGUCCCGUUCUGCUGGAGCAGGUCCUGAGUAAGGGCUUGUAGAAGACGGGGAAACGUCAAAGCCUUCUCUGUCCUUGGCUGUGACACAAGCCCUGAAGAAACAGCAGCAGACAUUGGAACGCCUGGACUCUCCUUAGAACAGUGACUUUUGGCUCUGGCAACAGUUGAUACUGAGAUUCUUCGCCUGUGGGAACAGAAGUAGUGGUGCAAGAAGAUCUGGAGAAAGAGUUCAGGACCAAUGGUUUCAUAAGAGACACAUGGAAGGAGUUGGGAAUCCUGAGAGUAGGAGAAAGCUGAAGCUUGUAGGAGACUGGAUUGAUGCACUCUAGGGUCUCAAACAGGACCAAAAACAGGGAGCAAAUGUUAUGAUAGUUAUGUAAGUGUUGCAUAAGUCUGUUUUCCAUUUCGGACAACUUCUCAUCCAUGUUUACAGACAUAAUUGGAUUUGUGUUGCUUGCAGUAAUACUUUCUGCAGGCAUAUGUACGACUAAGGGUGCUAACGCACCUGAAACGCGUUACUUUUGCUCCUGUUAUGGCUUUUAUCCAAUAAACAAUAUUCAUCUUUGCACGACCAUCUGCGCUGGACAUUCCUAUUUUCUCCA